GUUGAGUGUGUGGCGAAGGGAGGGCUGUGAGUAGUUGGGGGAGGGGACGCGGCGGGAAAGGGAGGGAGCUGGGCGGGCGCCCGACCGGGACACCCAGGCGGGGGUCGAGAAGGUGGUUUCUCCCCCGCCCUCGGGCAAGCGGCGAGGGAGGAGGCUGCAGUCAAGCUGGGUUCGCGACCGGCUGGGGGGAUCGAUGACUCGGCCGGUGGGCACGGCCACCUGGGUGAGGGGCCGCGGAGGAGGGGGGGGCGGAGCGCCGAUGUCAUGGAUGGGCUCCGAGGGCCUGGCGGGAGGGGGGCGCCAGUGUUCAGGGCCGUUUUGGUGGCGAGGAGGGAUUGGCCUGAGCCGCAGUGCUCGCGCUCGCCUCGCCGACCGCCAUUUCACAUCCUGCAGAGAAGGCGGGGGCAGCCGCGGAAACAGCUUUUUACAAGGUUGCCUUGUAUUUGAACUGGUGUGAGAGAUCCUUAUUUGGAACCAUCGUGGGUCUUAAAAGGCUCAAAGACACAGAUCACUGAACUAGUACUUCCCAGAGGAAGAGAUGCCAGCAGGAAAGACUAAGAAGGAAUGAUCAAUGAGUGUAGCAGUAGCAGGAAACAUUCCAUCUGGAUGUGCAGAAUAUGUAAGUUGGAAGACAUUAGCCUAAAGGCUGGAAACCUCAGAGAACUGAUAUACUUUCUGAAAGUAUCAGACAUAUGGUUGGAACUGCAGAAGAAAUGUCCCCUUGCCCUUUGCAUUGCAUCAUUUGAUGACCAAGUGGUGUCCAUCUAGCCAGUUCUGUAUGACUUGGACAAAACAUGUUGCUUUCUGAAGCAGACAAUGUUCUGAAGGCAUCAAUAUCAGUAAUUUCAGCUUGUUGAAGAUGGAGGUUCUUUGUGUAAAAGAUGGUUUUGUUUUGUUUCUCUUGUCCUGAAGAAGAGUUUUAAGUAGUAAGCAGAAACAUAUAAGGCUUCUUGAGGCCGAGACUCCAAACUGACACACUGGCACUUCUGUCUCAUUCUGUUGGCCAGAGCAGGUUAUGUGACCAAGUAAAAUUCAAGGGGUAGGGAAACAGAAUUCACCUCUUUAGAGAAAUGACAAAGUGACAUGAAGGGGUGAAGAAGUGGAACCAUUAAUACCAUGGUAGGGAUGACUGGAGCAUGCUUGAAAAGUAUAAAGAAUUUGUAGGAUGAAGAAGAAAAUGAAGAAGAAAGAUCACUACCAUAGGUCAGAGAAUUAACUUUUGAAAAAAGGAACAGUACUUCUGGGAAUGGAAAGAAGGGGCAUUUGACUGAAUUAUAUUUAGCAAAUUAAAAUACAGGAUGUCCAGUAAUUUUUUAAACUUCAGAUAAACAAUGAAUAAGUUUUUAGUAUUAAGUACCUGCAUACAAUCUUUGGUAGGCUCUCAGUACAUAGUUGGCUAUUUUUAUUAGUUUAAAUACUAUUUAAAUAUUUCUAUCAUACAAUAUUUUGGACAUACUUAUCCCAAAAUAUGAUUCCUUUUUAUUUGAAAUUCAGAUGUUACCAGGCAUCCUGUGUCUUAAUCUGACAGCCCUAUUUUGGUUGACUUUUAAAUAAAGCCAUGGUAAGAUAACCUACAAAGGACUAGCGAGGUGCUUUGGGGGAUUUAAUCCUGGAAGAAGUUUGGAACAGCUGCAGUGGAUGCUGUGCACUGCCCAAGAGAGGACUGCCAAGCAGCAGGGAAGGCCCACUGACCAAGAGGCAGCACAACUCUUCAUUGCAUCAGCAGUGGUACUUCACUGCUGGGUGCAGAGGUGGGACGAAGGUGGCAGGUACAGGUGACCACCUUGGUUUGACUGUGUAGGAGAGGCCUGGGAAGGAGUUUGGGCAUAGUUGAAAUGACUAGGGGGUCCAGGUUGUACAGGAAAACAGGUGAAACCAGAAGGAAUUGGGAGGCAAAGGUAAAAGUGAGUCAAAGAGGUGGAAGUUCCCAGAGAAGUAGAAUUUACAGUCUUGGAAGAAUAGUUCUGUGAUAAUGGGGUUAAAAAUCCAAUUUCACGAGAGAACUAGAGCUAAAUUAAAAGCAAGAGCUCUGGAGACAAAGUACCUAGUUUUGCAUUCUAGUUGUAUGAUUUUGGUCAAAUAAUUAAACUUCCCUAUGACUUAGCUUUUUUUUUUUCUUUUGUAAAUCAUGAAUAAUAAUGGAUCUCAUAACCUCAUAGGGUUAUUGUGAGAAUUAAGUGAAAUAAACUACAUGAAGGUACCUAGAACAGUAUGUCUGGUGUUUGCUAUGUUUUAUUAUUUAUAUACCACUUGCAUGUAUCUAUAAUCAAUAAAUGUGAGUGCAUUAAAGAAUAUUGUUUGAAAGAAAAAAGGCACAUGUACAGUGUAUGUUCUGCCUUAGCUAACAAAUGCUAGGUUUGGUAAAUACCAUUAGCUACUUGUUUAAGUUGGAGCUCAAAGAGCCUUUACCACUUAAGGUUGUUUUCUUUACUGUUAUUAUAAGAAAAUAAUUGUCAUGCUCAAGUCAUAUCUGUCUCCUCACUUCCCCCUAGGUGACCAUGCUUUGGGAUUUUCAUAGUUUGAGUAAUUCCUCCGGGCUCUGCCACCCAGCAAGUUAAAGAGGACAAGAUUCCUCACUGGGGGUUGUGGUUCUGGGAAUGUGAGCAGCUUGUUUUCAUGAAUUCUGCACCCUGACCUGGCCUACUGUUAGGAGCUGUUGUGUUGGUAGUGGCGGUGUUUUUAGUUAUUUCCUCCACCUUCCACAGUUACUUGUAUAUAAAGAUUUUUGAAAAGUGAAUGUUUUAUGGGGAUGUUUUGCUUAUGCAACGAAAAAUUAAAACUGUUUCAAAGU
rnacentral:lncRNA from 1 species